rnacentral:lncRNA from 1 species
UCCCGUAUAGUCUAAAGAGUCUACCGUCUCUCACCUAACCCUUUUAAAGUAUGAGUGAAGAAUCCGGUGAUUAAGGUUGGACCUGAGGAGUAGGUAAAGUCCGUAGAAGCUCCGGCGAUGAUUCCGGUGAACGGGCAGGGGAAGAUUCCGGUUAAUGGGUAAGUUCACAACACUCACAUUUUUUUUGUAAACAAUGAUCACACAGUUAACUUUGUUUGUCACAAAGAUUAUAUGUCAAGUAGCUAAAGCUUUUACAAAGAUUAUAUGUUGAUUCUACUUCAUACAAUUAAAAUUUUAUUGAUAUGGUAAAAGGCAUUGGCACAACUCUAAUACCGGCAAGGUUUGUGUGUGCUUAAGUGACUCGUUUACAUGGUAAGAUUUGAAUGCUUGUGUUUGUUUUUAAGGUCGCACGCCAAGUGUUUGUGACAUUGCCUAAAUGACUAGAUCCAAAUGUUGGUUAAUUGGUAGUAUGUGUAUUUUGUACAGAUGGUCAAGCAUUGGCCUAUGACCCUAUUUGAGGAAUUCCCAAUGUGUUUCUGAAUAUUUGAUGCAGUGGCUAUGAUUUUGAAUGUGAAUAACUGAAUAAAGCAUGCUUCUUAGAUUAGCUAACAUCAGAUUUAUAAUCAUAGUUUUUAAUCUUCAGGUGCUAAUCUCAUAUAGUAAUUGAAAAAAGAAAUUCAAUAUGUGGGUUUGCUUAGUUUAAAUAUUUGACACAAGCUUCUUUUUUCUAUGUAUUUUGGGUUAGAAUUAUACAUCGAAACCAGAUCAUGAAGAUUGUGAGUUUGAACUUAAUGUUCAAAGCCUUUUUUCCUCGGCUCGAUAGCCUUGGCUUAAAGUUUUUGUUAUGCUUUAUUCUUUCCUAUCAAAUAUAGCAGAAGACGUAUUUCUCUUUUGCUUCACAGUCACACAUAUGCAUCAAGUAUUUUUAUUAUUGAAUAAUGCUUUUUUUUUUUCUUUUUAAGUUUAUAGCUAGAAAGUGACUAAGUGGACAUGUUCAAAUUGUAAACUGUUUGCAAGAUGGGUAACUUAAAGAAUCUUAUUAAUUCAAAGUAAUCACACUUGCAUAUACUUCAAUUCUUUUUUAUUAGAAUUUGGUUUUAGACAUGGUCUGCAGGCCACUUUGUUCUUGAUAUUGCAUUAUAUAUAUUUGGCAUUCUAACUAACCAUUCUAUUUUGGAUGCAUAAACAUGAGCUAUGAUGUAUAUGGCUAAAAAGAGAAGAGACGGUCCACAAGGUUACAAUGGUGUAAGGACCAAAAACAAUGGAGCCCGUGAUCGUUCGGUGUAACGACCAUAGGUGGUUCACUGGAGGCAUGGGGUAGGGGUGUUCAAAAAACUCACGGCUCGCAGCUCGCUCGAAACUCAUUCGAAAAAAGUUCAAAAAAAGCUCGGCUCAAAAUUGGCUUGGUUGUAAACGAGCCAGCUCGGCUCGGCUCGAUUUGUAAACGAGCCAAGCUCGAGCUUGGCCCGGCUCGGCUCGUGAGCCAGCUCUAUAAGGUUUACAUCCUUUUUUUUUGUCUCACAUCGUUCAGAAGACAAAAACUAAGGGAAUAUCUCC